UACAGAGGUCCCAAGCGUUGUUCGGAUUCACUGGGCGUAAAGGGUGCGUAGGCGGUCGGGUAAGUCCGAUGUGAAAUCUCCAGGCUCAACCUGGAAAUGGCAUUGGAUACUAUUCGGCUUGAGGAGUGGAGGGGGGACUGGAAUUCUCGGUGUAGCAGUGAAAUGCGUAGAUAUCGAGAGGAACACCAGUGGCGAAGGCGAGUCCCUGGACACUUCCUGACACUGAGGCACGAAAGCUAGGGGAGCAAACAGG
rnacentral:rRNA from 1 species